GUUCGCUUCAUCAGGACCACUGACUGUGCGCCUCUUGCAAGGAUUUUCUUGGAUCAGGAGAUUGACGGACAGGCGCUGCUGCUGCUGAACCUCCCAACAGUGCAGGAGUGCAUGGACCUGAAGCUCGGACCGGCCAUCAAGCUGUGCCACCACAUCGAGCGGGUCAAGCUGGCAUUUUAUCAACAGUUUGCUACGUAGCUGAUGGGGAUCAAUCAUGGGAUCAAUGUGACUGCACCUUGUUUUGUGUAUUAAUCCAUUGAAAAACAAUGCUUUUUUUUUUUUUUUUUUUUUUUCUAACACUGGACAUCGUUUAGAAUUCUGCCUAUCCUGCAACCCGCUGGACAAGCAUGGACAUGAGAGACAAAGCAACAUUUGUUGAUCUUUGGGGGGGGGGGGGGGUUAAGAUGAAGAGGCUCAAAAACAGCUGAGAAAGGCACAGCGGAAGACUGAAAAAGAGGAAUUUGUGGUACUUUGAUGACACAAAUAAGUGUAAAUAGCACAUAAGCUUAAAUUCCUUAAUUAAAUUCAGCAUAUUUUGACAUCAAAUCAAACCAUCAUCAAGGACUCGCUUAAGUUAAAAAAGUUUGGUUCCUGUAUCUGUUUUAAUUAAGGCUGUUUAACUUAUUUGUGUCUUCAGAGUGCUCUGAACUUGUUUUUCACCCCUGAAGAGGGACUGAGCACCACUUCUGAAACUCUUGUUCUAUCUGUUCAUCAUUUCCAGCCUGUUUGCCUUUUUUUUUAUAAGGCAACACCACAGAAUCAGAACAAAAAGUUUUUGUUUGUUUUUAACAUGUAAAACUAUUGAAAUGUGCGCAACUGGCUUCCUAAACUAUUGACUUCUAUGGAGAUUAUUUAAAAGAGUCUUUAACAAUCUAUUUUGGUGCAUCAGUUAAAUGAAGACAAGGGCAACUUUUCCUUUCUGAAAUCAAAUUAGAAAUUGCAUAUAGUCUGAUGCCAGAUAUGAUAGUUUGAGUCAUUGCAGGGAAUGAAUUUGAGUUUAUUGUAAACAUGCAACAUGUAUAUCAAGAUAAUUUGCAAAUAUUAAGGUGGAAUACUUUAUACCAAAUUAGUAUGCUCCAUGUAAAAUGGGCAUUGAUCUCUGGUUUUAAGCCUCCACACAUGUAAGAGCGGUUUACAGCAAAAGGAUUCUGUACUGCAAGCACAAGCAAAACCGUGUACUACAUGGUGGUAUGCAAUUAUGACAUGUGCAUGUUUGUAUAUAGUGUACAUAUUCAAAUGUCUUCUAGUGCAACAGGGUGAUUUGAAAGAAAAAAAAUGUUGUCUUUGUGCAUAUAUAUGUAAAUGCCCAAAACCACACAGUAUAUUGCACAGAAUAGCCCUAAACUUUAAUAUAUCGGGGCAUAUGAUUCAAAUUCAGUUAGCUACAGUUGAUUAAUUUUUCUAACAGCAAAUGGGUUGUUUUAAUUGCUAAUGUUAAAUUGGCAGUUGUUUAAGCAAGGAGAUACGCAACAUGCUUUUUGUAAGUCCGCCCCCCCAGUCCGUGUCGUGUGGUUUAAUGUAAUGUGCUUCAUUUUGUGUGGACACCGCCGUUUGUGUGUUUGCUGAUGUGGUUCGCAGCUUCCUCCGUGCUCAGCACACACCUGUGUGAAGAUGAUCAUUGCUGUUUAAACGAGAACGCUGCAAUAAAAGCUCAACAACCACUUCUCA